rnacentral:piRNA from 1 species
UGAAACAUUUAAAUCUCAUUGUUAUCCUAAC